rfam:Erinaceus europaeus unplaced genomic scaffold scaffold01861, whole genome shotgun sequence
GAAAGGUACAAGAUGGAUCUUGGAGCAGGGAAUGACUGCUGGGCCUCUCAGGGAACCCUGUGUAAACAUCUGCAGCCUUGGGGCUCCUGAGCU